rnacentral:rRNA from 1 species
UAGAGUUUGAUCCUGGCUCAGAACGAACGCUGGCGGCAGGCUUAACACAUGCAAGUCGAGCGCCCCGUAAGGGGAGCGGCAGACGGGUGAGUAACGCGUGGGAACGUACCCUUUUCUACGGAAUAACGCAUGGAAACGUGUGCUAAUACCGUAUGUGCCCUUUGGGGGAAAGAUUUAUCGGAAAAGGAUCGGCCCGCGUUGGAUUAGCUAGUUGGUGGGGUAAAGGCCUACCAAGGCGACGAUCCAUAGCUGGUCUGAGAGGAUGAUCAGCCACAUUGGGACUGAGACACGGCCCAAACUCCUACGGGAGGCAGCAGUGGGGAAUAUUGGACAAUGGGCGCAAGCCUGAUCCAGCCAUGCCGCGUGAGUGAUGAAGGCCCUAGGGUUGUAAAGCUCUUUCACCGGUGAAGAUAAUGACGGUAACCGGAGAAGAAGCCCCGGCUAACUUCGUGCCAGCAGCCGCGGUAAUACGAAGGGGGCUAGCGUUGUUCGGAAUUACUGGGCGUAAAGCGCACGUAGGCGGAUCGAUCAGUCAGGGGUGAAAUCCCAGAGCUCAACUCUGGAACUGCCUUUGAUACUGUCGAUCUGGAGUAUGGAAGAGGUGAGUGGAAUUCCGAGUGUAGAGGUGAAAUUCGUAGAUAUUCGGAGGAACACCAGUGGCGAAGGCGGCUCACUGGUCCAUUACUGACGCUG